AACCCUUUUGGGUGGGCGGGACUUCUGAGAAGUCCUCUCCCAUAGGACAGUGGUUUCUCUUGAGUGACAGUUCAGUGACCUGGAAGUGAUGUAGCCUCCCAGACAUUUUUUUUCCCACCUGGUCAACAACAUGAAUUUUGAGCCCCAAACAGGUUAUUUCUGCUGUCUGUGGUGUCUACUGAGGAUCUAAAGAACCUGUGGAACAUCAGAGACUUUGCAGCUAUUAGAGCUAACCUGUGUACUGCUAACUUGCUACAGAGGAAGCAGCAGAAAGCUGAGCUAACAGGCUGUUUUGCAGUGAAACGAAUGGAUUUUAUGAUGUAACUCUGACUGAAUAAUUAUCUAAGUGAGUGUGUUUGAUAAUACAUUUCUUUCCAGUAUACAGAUCUGACAUUUGUUUGUCAGAACAAGACAAAUCAGAUUCAAUGUUCUUUCUGUCACGUGUUCUGUAUUCUCCAUCAAAAGAAUGUUAUCCAGGACAGA